GUUCUUUUAGUAUUAACCAGUACGGUUGACUUCCAAUCAACUAGCUUCGGUGACAACCCGAAAAAGAACA
rnacentral:tRNA from 1 species